rnacentral:rRNA from 1 species
GAUGAACGCUAGCGGUGUGCUUAAUGCAUGCAAGUCGAACGGUCACCUUGAAUCUCAAGGUGAGAGUGGCGGAAGGGUGCGUAACACGUGGGUGACCUACCCCAGAGAGGGGGAUAACUAUUGGAAACGAUAGCUAAUACCCCAGAUGUCUUUGUCUCUAGAAAGCAAAGACUAAAGCUCCGGUGCUCUGGGAGGGGCCUGCGUCCCAUCAGCUAGUUGGUAAGGUAAUGGCUUACCAAGGCUAAGACGGGUAGGGGGCGUGAGAGCGUGACCCCCCACACUGGUACUGACACACGGACCAGAUACCUACGGGUAGCAGCAGCAAGGAAUAUUGCGCAAUGGGCGAAAGCCUGACGCAGCAACGCCGCGUGGAGGAUGAAGGCCUUCGGGUUGUAAACUCCUUUUCUGGGGGAUGAGAUAGGACGGUACCCCAGGAAUAAGCCUCGGCUAACUACGUG